GGACUACAAGGGUAUCUAAUCCUGUUUGCUCCCCACGCUUUCGUACCUCAGCGUCAGUCUUAGGCCAGGAAGCCGCCUUCGCCACUGAUGUUCCUCCGGAUAUCUACGCAUUUCACCGCUACACCCGGAAUUCCGCUUCCCUCUCCCAGACUCGAGUCAGACAGUAUCGAAUGCAAUUCCCAGGUUAAGCCCGGGGCUUUCACACCCGACUUAUCAAACCGCCUACGCACGCUUUACGCCCAGUAAUUCCGAUUAACGCUCGCACCCUCCGUAUUACCGCGGCUGCUGGCAC
rnacentral:rRNA from 1 species